UACGAAGGGGGCGAGCGUUGUUCGGAAUUACUGGGCGUAAAGGGCGUGUAGGCGGCCGCGCAAGUCAGAUGUGAAAGCCCCGGGCUCAACCCGGGAAUAGCAUUUGAGACUGCGUGGCUUGAGUACGGGAGAGGUCAGUGGAAUACCCAGUGGAGAGGUGAAAUUCGUAGAGAUUGGGUAGAACACCAGUGGCGAAGGCGGCUGACUGGCCCGUAACUGACGCUGAGGCGCGAAAGCGUGGGGAGCAAACAGG
rnacentral:misc_RNA from 1 species